AUGCACGCUGGCGGCGUGCCUAAUACAUGCACGUCGAGCGGACAGAUGAGGAGCUUGCUCCUCUGACGUUAGCGGCGGACGGGUGAGUAACACGUGGAUAACCUACCUAUAAGACUGGGAUAACUUCGGGAAACCGGAGCUAAUACCGGAUAAUAUAUUGAACCGCAUGGUUCAAUAGUGAAAGACGGUUUUGCUGUCACUUAUAGAUGGAUCCGCGCCGCAUUAGCUAGUUGGUAAGGUAACGGCUUACCAAGGCAACGAUGCGUAGCCGACCUGAGAGGGUGAUCGGCCACACUGGAACUGAGACACGGUCCAGACUCCUACGGGAGGCAGCAGUAGGGAAUCUUCCGCAAUGGGCGAAAGCCUGACGGAGCAACGCCGCGUGAGUGAUGAAGGUCUUCGGAUCGUAAAACUCUGUUAUUAGGGAAGAACAAAUGUGUAAGUAACUAUGCACGUCUUGACGGUACCUAAUCAGAAAGCCACGGCUAACUACGUG
rnacentral:rRNA from 1 species